rnacentral:rRNA from 1 species
UACGAAGGUGGCAAGCGUUGUUCGGAUUUACUGGGCGUACAGGGAGCGUAGGCGGUUGGGUAAGCCCUCCGUGAAAUCUCCGGGCCUAACCCGGAAAGUGCGGAGGGGACUGCUCGGCUAGAGGAUGGGAGAGGAGCGCGGAAUUCCCGGUGUAGCGGUGAAAUGCGUAGAGAUCGGGAGGAAGGCCGGUGGCGAAGGCGGCGCUCUGGAACAUUUCUGACGCUGAGGCUCGAAAGCGUGGGGAGCAAACAGGAUUAGAUACCCUGGUAGUCCACGCCUUAAACGAUGGAUACUAAGUGUCGGCGGGUUACCGCCGGUGCCGCAGCUAACGCAUUAAGUUCGCCGCCUGGGGAGUACGGUCGCAAGACUGAAACUUAAAUGAAUUGACGG